rnacentral:rRNA from 1 species
UACGAAGGGGGCUAGCGUUGCUCGGAAUCACUGGGCGUAAAGCGCACGUAGGCGGCUUUCUAAGUCAGAGGUGAAAUCCUGGAGCUCAACUCCAGAACUGCCUUUGAUACUGGAGAGCUUGAGUCCGGGAGAGGUGAGUGGAACUGCGAGUGUAGAGGUGAAAUUCGUAGAUAUUCGCAAGAACACCAGUGGCGAAGGCGGCUCACUGGCCCGGUACUGACGCUGAGGUGCGAAAGCGUGGGGAGCAAACAGG